GACAAAAUUAAAAACAAAAGCAAGACAAAACAAAAUAAUAAAGCAUAAGUAAUCCCGCAGAAAUAACGUAAAUAAUUAUGAAAACAUAGGAAACAUAGGAAACAUAGGAAACAUAAAUACAGUCGCAUGCAAUAAUAACAAGCAGUAACUACCAUACUAACAACCAUAAGGGGACACAAGCUAAAACACUAAUCAUCUAUGGGUAACCCUACUAUCCCCCACCCAGCC
rnacentral:lncRNA from 1 species